rnacentral:rRNA from 1 species
GCAGUCGAACGAGAAAAUCCUUCGGGAUGAGUACAGUGGCGCACGGGUGCAGCUAAUACGUGGGCAAUCUGCCUUAAAGACCGGGAUAACCUUCCGAAAGGGGGACUAAUACCGGAUAAGACCACGAAUACCACGGUAUUUGAGGCCAAAGGGUGCUUUUACGGGUGCCGCUUUGAGAUGAGCCCGCGGUGCAUUAGCUUGAUGGUAGGGUAAAGGCCUACCAUGGCUCCGAUGCAUAGCUGGUCUGAGAGGACGAUCAGCCACACUGGAACUGAGACACGGUCCAGACUCCUACGGGAGGCAGCAGUGGGGAAUAUUGGACAAUGGGGGAAACCCUGAUCCAGCAACGCCGCGUGAGUGAUGAAGGCUUUCGGGUCGUAAAGCUCUGUUGAGGGGGACGAAACUAUACGGGUUACUCCGUAUGCUGACUUAACCCCUUGAGGAAGCACCGGCUAACUCUGUGCCAGCAGCCGCGGUAAUACAGAGGGUGCAAGUGUUGUUCGGAAUUAUUGGGCGUAAAGAGCGCGUAGGUGGCUACGUAAGUCAGAUGUGAAAUCCCUGGGCUCAACCCAGGAACUGCGUUUGAUACUGUGUAGCUAGAGUACGACAGAGGAGAGUGGAAUUCCCGGUGUANAGGUGAAAUUCGUAGAUAUCGGGAGGAACACCAGUGGCGAAAGCGGCUCUCUGGGUCGACACUGACACUGAGGCGCGAAAGCGUGGGUAGCGAACAG